UUCUAGGGUACAUGUGCACAGCGUGAAGGUUUGUUACAUAUGUAUACUUGUGCCAUGUUGGCGUGCUGCACCCAUCAACUCGUCAGCACCCAUCAACUCGUCAUUUACAUCAGAUGGACUUGGUCAGGAGAAGAGAACCACUCUACAGCUGGGAAUCUCACACUGAAAGCUUCCCAACCUCAAAGUCUAUCCAGUGAUGAUUUGCUCUGUACAUCCUCAUGCACACAGGGAGUUGUGGGGAGCUCAGGGAGAUGCAUGUGGGUAUACACCCCCGACACACUGACAUCUGCUCUGACCAUCUUAUUUGCUCAUACUGCUCAGAGCAUACUGUGCCUUCUGUCAAGCCGCACAUUGCACAAGCUAUUCUCUCUGUCUGGAAUGUUCUUCACCAAGCACAAUUUUACAUCUUCCUUAAGUCUCCCUUCAAAUGAUGUCUUCUAUAGUCCACAUAGCUGGGGUCCCUUAGACUAAACCAAUCACCCCCUCCUCUGUGCUCUGGGGCUCUGUGUGUCCACCUCUGCUGUUGCACCCACUAUAUUGUGGCAUGGGGUCUUACAAUCUUGGGGACCAUGCCAUGGCCCUUCCACAGAACUGAGACAGGGCACAGAAUGGGGAGAGGGUUAGAUACAUCUGCGUUGAAUAAAUGCAUGCAUGCAUCUGUCACAAUUUGCAGGGCGUUUUCAUAGAGCAGAUUUAAUUCAUUUAUAAAGGAGAUUGUAUUCAUUUAUAUAAUAGCUGCAAAAUCCAAAACGUAGAACAGAUGUAUUGUGCCAAGCCUAUGGUCCAUCUCCAUCCUCUAACCACCCAGUUCCCUUCUCUGAAAUCAAUAUCUGAGUCCUAUUUGGUAUGCAUCCUUCCAGAGGGUCCAUAUUAACUUAAAGGUACACGUAUUUCUUGUAUCCCUUUUGCACAAAUUAUAGCAUCUUGCUUUUUUACAUUUUACUUUUUAAUAUGCCUUGUAGAUCCUUCAAUAUCAGCCCACUGAGAGUUGCCUUAUUUUUAUUUUUAUUUUUUGUUUCAUUAGCUGCAUAGUAUUAUUCUACUAUAAGGGUGCUUCAUGCUUAGCCAGUCUUCUAAGGCUGUUUUGAAUUCUUUGGUCAUCCUUUGCUGGCAUGGAUAACCUUGUGCAUUUAUCAACAGUGCUUACUUUUUUUUCUUUUUUUUGAGACAGAGUCUCACUCUGUUGCCCAGGCUGGAGUGCAGUGGCGUGAUCUCGGCUCACUGCAACCUCUACCUCCCGGGUUCAAGUGAUUCUCCUGCGUCAGUCUCCUGAGUAGCUGGGACUACAGGCACGCGCCACCACAUCCGGCUAAUUUUUUGUAUUUUUAGUAGUGACAGGGUUUCACCAUGUUGGCCAAGCUGGUCUCGAUCUCUUGACCUCGUGAUCCACCCGCCUCAGCCUCCCAAAGUGCUGGGAUUACAGGUGUGAGACACCACGCCCGGCCAACAGUGCUUCAUUUUGAGAAAUUAUUUUCAAAUGGUAGAAUUUCAGGCUUCAGUAAGGUAGACAGGGUGACUCUCCUGGCACUGUUCCGGUAACUGCUGAUUGGUUUAUUCAACACUUUUUUCAAUCCCUGUCUGCUGUGCUGAGACUGAAGAGCUGGCAAAUGUGUUUCCCAGGAAUCUUUGCAGGUAGAUUCAGGGUGUCACCUUAGGAUUCACCAAGCAGCUGUAGUCAGGUGAGAUUUGGAUUUGGAUCUAAGUCACUGAGCAGAGAGGUGGAGUGUGUGGAUAUUUACUUGGCCAGUGGGCAUCACCACAGGAGUGCCGGUUUUGUUGCUGACAGCUGUUGGUGGCAGAUAUCAGAUACUGCAGCUUCCUGGUUGCAGGGGAGGCUGCAGCUCCUUAGGUGGCCCAAUUCUGUGCUGUAAUUUUGGGAGCCAAUCCUGGAAGUUCAGUUUAAUGCCUAGCAUCCCAAACUGUUGUCCACAGAUCAGGAGUAGAAUCCCAGGUGCCAGGCUACUCCUAGGGAAUCAUCUCCAGGUGAUUCACACACCCAUUCAAGGUUGAGAAGUACUGGCUUAGACUUUACUGGAGCUCUGCCAAGGCUCUAAUUAGAAUCACCUGGGAAGCCUUGAACACUGCAGGUGCCAAGGCCACACCCCAUAUUAUGUCAUAAUCUCUAAGGGUGGUGCCUGGGAUCAACAUCUUUAAAACUCCGCAGGUGAUUCCAGUAUGUAGCCAAGGUUGAGACCCAUUGGCCUGGAGUAAGAACUCUGCAUCUUGGUUAUACACUAGAAUCACUUGAACAUUUUAAAAAAUACUACAAAUUCUGAUUUAAUUGGCUUGAACGAAGACAUGAGCAUUUUAUUUUUGUACGCUCUCUUGGCAAUUCUAAUGUAAAGCAAGGGUUGAGAAGUAUUCGUCUAGUUUUGUUUCUUCAGCCUUCUUCACUAUUUUUACCUCUAAUAAAAACCCUUGUGUUUAAAUCCACUAGAGUGAAUUCUGUGGUCUGCAAUUAAGAACUUUUGUGUCAUAUGAGAAGUCACCUGUUUGAGCUGCACUGGAACCUGGGCUGGCUUAUGUUGGCUUUAGUAACCUCGGAACAAAUAAUAGAAUUUAAUUUAAAAGGGCUUUUGAGAAAACCCAUUGAGAAGAAUCGAUCAGGAAACCACUUACUGGUGAACUGGCUAAGAAGGAUGGGUUAGAAAGGAGGCAGGCAGGGCCAGAAACAUGAUGAGCCAUGUCUGAAGAUCAAGGAGGGUGGGGGUGGAGGGGUGCAGAACUUUGGUGGAAGGGAAGAGUGUUACCUAACUAGACCUGUGAGUAUAAAAACAAGGGCCCAUCCAGCCAAACAGCUAAACAGAUGAAAGCUUCAUAUUUCUUUUGGGUGGAUUCCUGGUUGUGUAGUGACCUCUGGGAGGAGAAGUCAAGGAGUUUGGGGCUUGGAGGAAGGGCCCACAGGGACAGGGGUUUUUGUCCUUUGCCUCUAUGGCACUUCUUCCUCUCUCUGUUCUCUCCUCUUUUGACUUGUAGUUCAGGACCUGCAUGCAUCCCCUGUUCUGGCUUCUAAGCAAUAGCUGGUGACUUCUCCCUAACAUUUGAACUUGCCUUCACAGUGCCCCCAGUCCUUAGGGUGGCUAGUUAGCAGAUGCCUGACCAAGCAUUAUUAGUAUCCAGUCCCUGUGACUGCCUUGGGGGUUCACAAUAGGAGCUCACAGGCUAAUGAAGAGGCGAUUGCAAGGCAGUCUAAAAAGCGCUAUAACAAAAGUAUAGGGUAUGUAUGACACUGAGGAAGGGUUGUCAGUCAUGGCAGUUCACAGGGAAGGUAAACAAUUAGGUGUGUAGAUUGUAGAGGUGACCCAUGAAGGGUCAGAAAUGAUCAUGAGAGACAAGUGCAAGCAAAGGACAUGACAGAUGCAGGAAUACUUGACUAUAGGCUCCUUGAAGGCAGCGCGGGCUCAUGCAUUUAUCAAUACUGUGUGCCUGCUCUCACAUGUAGAAGGGCUUAUGUGGAUGUGAAUAAUGAAUACAUGAAAAAAAGUGAUGGUAUAUUGGUUAGAAAGCUAUCAGUUGCAAGUAAUUAAAAAACUCUUAAACCUCAAACAGAAAGGGAAUAUAUUAGUCACACAACAAAGAGAUAGUAGGUGGUAGGAUUCUGCCUCCAGCUCUUUACAGCGGUUUUAGGCCACACAUUCUAACACAGUCAUGUCCAAAGGCAGAAAUAGGGCUGUCUUUAAUGGUGUCUUUGUCUUAAGGGCAAGAAAACUUUCUCAUAAGGGCUCCAGUGGAACUUCUGUCAGGUCUCAUUGGGCCCAUGCUUAGCUGUAAAUCAAUCACUGGCAAGAAGAAUAGGUUAGUCCUGAUUCACUAAGACCAAUCACUGGAGCUUAGAUGUUGUGUCAUCCACUGAAAUGAGAAAGGCUGGAAGUGACUCUACAAAGAGAUUCUGGGGCCUUUAAUUGAACUUCAUCUUACUCUUUAAAAGUGACUUCUGUGGCCACUGAUGUAUAAUUUCAAUUACUUUAGAUUAUUCUUUUAAAAGCAGAACUCCUAAAUUUUUAAAAAUUUGAGCUUUCAUAAAAUCUUCAACAAUUAGGUCACUAUUGACAUUUAUAGAGAUAUUUUUGAAUAAGAAAUGGAUAAAGCUUUCUGUGGAUUAUUUUCUGAGAAGGCAAUAGAUAAACUUGGUAAAAGAAAAUGAAGAUACAAGGAGAUUUACCAUGAGAAACAACUCUGCUCCCAUCCCUGUCCUCCCUCCUACCCUUGCCCUCCCCAGGGCCAGUCACUACUAAGGAUUUCUUGUGUGGGCUUCCAGAAAUACUAUAUGCAUGUUCAAACAUGUACGCAUUCAUAUUUACCACUUCAAUACUAAACAAACAGUACACACUCUACUUUACCUUGCCUUUAUACUUGGAUGCCACUUUAAAAUGGACAUUCCUAGCUUUUAUAUUUUGCCUGAGGUGGUAAACUGUUAAUUCUAAAUGGAAUGUGAAAAAAUAUCCAUGUAUAUUAUACUUUAUAGAGAAACCAUUAAAAAUAAUAUGAAGAGAUAUAGCUAAAAAGUUAAAAGGUAUAUUAAAAUAUAAUACUAAAAAUAUUCAAAUAGUGCAAGAGAGAGCAGGAAAGGGGAAACAGGAGCAAGAAACAGGGGAAAAACUAAUGAAACAAUAGAUCUAAAUUCAAUCAUGUCAGUUAAAUUACAUAGAAUCUCAUGAAAUAUAAAUGCUCUUAACACACUGAGAGUGUCAGAGUGGAAAGUAACAAGAAAACAACAUCCCACCUCUAUGUUGUCUAUGAGACAGACUUUAGAUAUAAAAAUACAAAUAGGUUUAGGUUAAAAGUAAAUAAUGGAAAAUAUGUACCAUUCAAACAGUAAUCAAGAAAUAACUGAAGUGAUAUAAAGUGGCGUGGCCAAUAUGGAAAAAGUCUGGUGGUUCUAUUUAAAAUAGAAUUAUUAUACAAUCUAGCAAUUUGACUUCUGG
rnacentral:lncRNA from 1 species